GAUGAACGCUGGCGGCGUGCCUAAUACAUGCCAGUCGAGCGAACAGACGAGGAGCUCGCUCCUCUGACGUUAGCGGCGGACGGGUGAGUAACACGUGGCUAACCUACCUAUAAGACUGGGAUACCUUCGGGAAACCGGAGCUAAUACAGGAUAAUAUAUUGAACCGCAUGGUUCAAUAGUGAAAGACGGUUCUGCUGUCACUUAUAGAUGGAUCCGCGCCGCAUUAGCUAGUUGGUAAGGUAACGGCUUACCAAGGCAACGAUGCGUAGCCGACCUGAGAGGGUGAUCAGCCACACUGGAACUGAGACACGGUCCAGACUCCUACGGGAGGCAGCAGUAGGGAAUCUUCCGCAAUGGGCGAAAGCUUGACGGAGCAACGCCGCGUGAGUGAUGAAGGUCUUCGGAUCGUAAAGCUCUGUUAUUAGGGAAGAACAAAUGUGUAAGUAACUAUGCACGUCUUGACGGUACCUAAUCAGAAAGCCACGGCUAACUACGUG
rnacentral:rRNA from 1 species